rnacentral:rRNA from 1 species
UACAGAGGGGGCUAGCGUUAUUCGGAAUUAUUGGGCGUAAAGGGCGCGUAGGCGGCCACGCGUGUCUUUCGUGAAAUCCCUCGGCUUAACUGAGGACGUGCGGAAGAAACUGCGAGGCUUGAGUCCGGGAGAGGGGGGUGGAAUUCCUGGUGUAGCGGUGAAAUGCGCAGAUAUCAGGAGGAACACCAAUGGCGAAGGCAGCUCGCUGGGACGCGACUGACGCUGAGACGCGAAAGCGUGGGGAGCAAACAGG